rnacentral:rRNA from 1 species
UACGGAGGAUCCAAGCGUUAUCCGGAAUCAUUGGGUUUAAAGGGUCCGUAGGCGGUCUUGUAAGUCAGUGGUGAAAGCCCAUCGCUCAACGGUGGAACGGCCAUUGAUACUGCAGGACUUGAAUUAUUAGGAAGUAACUAGAAUAUGUAGUGUAGCGGUGAAAUGCUUAGAGAUUACAUGGAAUACCAAUUGCGAAGGCAGGUUACUACUAAUGGAUUGACGCUGAUGGACGAAAGCGUGGGGAGCGAACAGG